rnacentral:rRNA from 1 species
AUUGAACGCUGGCGGAAUGCUUUACACAUGCAAGUCGAACGGCAGCACGGACUUCGGUCUGGUGGCGAGUGGCGAACGGGUGAGUAAUGUAUCGGAACGUGCCCAGUCGUGGGGGAUAACGUAGUGAAAAUUACGCUAAUACCGCAUACGAUCUAUGGAUGAAAGCGGGGGAUCGAAAGACCCCGCGAGAGUGGAGCGGCCGAUAUCAGAUUAGGUAGUUGGUGGGGUAAAGGCCCACCAAGCCAACGAUCUGUAGCUGGUCUGAGAGGACGACCAGCCACACUGGAACUGAGACACGGUCCAGACUCCUACGGGAGGCAGCAGUGGGGAAUUUUGGACAAUGGGCGAAAGCCUGAUCCAGCCAUUCCGCGUGCAGGAUGAAGGCCCUCGGGUUGUAAACUGCUUUUGUACAGAACGAAAAGGUUUCUACUAAUACUAGGAGCUCAUGACGGUACUGUAAGAAUAAGCACCGGCUAACUACGUGCCAGCCGCCGCGGUAA